GACGAACGCUGGCGGCGUGCUUAACACAUGCAAGUCGAACGGAAAGGCCCUGCUUUUGUGGGGUUCUCGAGUGGCGAACGGGUGAGUAACACGUGAGUAACCUGCCCUUGACUUUGGGAUAACUUCAGGAAACUGGGGCUAAUACCGGAUAGGAGCUCCUGCUGCAUGGUGGGGGUUGGAAAGUUUCGGCGGUUGGGGAUGGACUCGCGGCUUAUCAGCUUGUUGGUGGGGUAGUGGCUUACCAAGGCUUUGACGGGUAGCCGGCCUGAGAGGGUGACCGGCCACAUUGGGACUGAGAGACGGCGCAGACUCCUACGGGAGGCAGCAGUGGGGAAUAUUGCACAAUGGGCGGAAGCCUGAUGCAGCAACGCCGCGUGCGGGAUGACGGCCUUCGGGUUGUAAACCGCUUUCGCCUGUGACGAAGCGUGAGUGACGGUAAUGGGUAAAGAAGCACCGGCUAACUACGUG
rnacentral:rRNA from 1 species